rnacentral:rRNA from 1 species
CCUACGGGUGGCAGCAGUGGGGAAUAUUGGGCAAUGGACGCAAGUCUGACCCAGCAACGCCGCGUGAAGGAAGAAGGCUUUCGGGUUGUAAACUUCUUUUUAGAUGGAAGUGCAGAACACCGUACCCCUUGAAUAAUCCAUGUCUAACUACGUGACAGCAGCCGCGGGAAUACGGAGGGGGCAAGCGUUGUCCGGAUUUACUGGGUUUAAAGGGCUUGCAGCCGGGAAGACAAGUCAGAUGUGAAAUCUCGCGGCUCAACCGCGAAACUGCAUUUGAAACUGUUUUUCUUGAGUAUCGGAGAGGUGAUCGGAAUUCGUGGUGUAGCGGUGAAAUGCGUAGAUAUUAGGAAGAACACCAGUGGCGAAGGCGGAUUACUGGACGACAACUGACAGUGAGGCGCGAAAGCGUGGGGAGCAAACAGGAUUAGAUACCCGAGUAGUC